rnacentral:rRNA from 1 species
GGCCGGGGGAAUUCGAUUCAGGCCUAACACAUGCAAGUCGAGCGGUAGAGAUUCUUCGGAAUCUUGAGAGCGGCGUACGGGUGCGGAACACGUGUGCAACCUACCUUUAUCUGGGGGAUAGCCUUUCGAAAGGAGGAUUAAUGCCCCAUAAUAUAUUGAUUGGCAUCAAUCGAUAUUGAAAACUCCGGUGGAUAGAGAUGGGCACGCGCAAGAUUAGGUAGUUGGUGAGGUAACGGCUCGCCAAGGCAAUGAUCUUUAGGGGGCGUGAGAGGGUGAUCCCCCACACUGGUACUGAGACACGGACCAGACUCCUACGGGAGGCAGCAGUGAGGAAUAUUGGACAAUGGGUGCAAGCCUGAUCAGGCCAUCCCGCGUGAAGGACGACUGCCCUAUGGGUUUAAAGGUCUUUGUACAGGGAUAAACCUACCCUCGUGAGG